rnacentral:rRNA from 1 species
CCACUGUACGCUGAGCGGUAGGCUUGGCACAUGCGCCUCGAGCGGGGAAGGGUAGCUUGCUACCUGACCUAACGGCGGACGGGUGAGUAAUGCUUAGGAAUCUGCCUAUUAGUGGGGGACAACAUUCCGAAAGGAAUGCUAAUACCGCAUACGCCCUACGGGGGAAAGCAGGGGAUCUUCGGACCUUGCGCUAAUAGAUGAGCCUAAGUCAGAUUAGCUAGUUGGUGGGGUAAAGGCCUACCAAGGCGACGAUCUGUAGCGGGUCUGAGAGGAUGAUCCGCCACACUGGGACUGAGACACGGCCCAGACUCCUACGGGAGGCAGCAGUGGGGAAUAUUGGACAAUGGGCGAAAGCCUGAUCCAGCCAUGCCGCGUGUGUGAAGAAGGCCUUUUGGUUGUAAAGCACUUUAAGCGAGGAGGAGGCUACUUGGAUUAAUACUCUAGGAUAGUGGACGUUACUCCCAGAAUAAGCACCGGCUAACUCUGUGCCAGCAGCCGCGGUAAUACAGAGGGUGCGAGCGUUAAUCGGAUUUACUGGGCGUAAAGCGUGCGUAGGCGGCUUUUUAAGUCGGAUGUGAAAUCCCUGAGCUUAACUUAGGAAUUGCAUUCGAUACUGGGAACCUAGAGUAUGGGAGAGGAUGGUAGAAUUCCAGGUGUGGCGGUGAAAUGCGUAGAGAUCUGGAGGAAUACCGAUGGCGAAGGCAGCCAUCUGGCCUAAUACUGACGCUGAGGUACGAAAGCAUGGGGAGCAAACAGGAUUAGAUACCCUGGUAGUCCAUGCCGUAAACGAUGUCUACUAGCCGUUGGGGCCUUUGAGGCUUUAGUGGCGCAGCUAACGCGAUAAGUAGACCGCCUGGGGAGUACGCUCGCAAGGCUAAAACUCAAAUGAAUUGACGGGGGCCCGCACAAGCGGUGGAGCAUGUGGUUUAAUUCGAUG